rnacentral:rRNA from 1 species
UACGUAGGGUGCAAGCGUUGUCCGGAAUUAUUGGGCGUAAAGAGCUCGUAGGCGGCUUGUCGCGUCGGCUGUGAAAACUCAGGGCUCAACCCUGAGCCUGCAGUCGAUACGGGCAGACUAGAGUAUGGCAGGGGAGACUGGAAUUCCUGGUGUAGCGGUGAAAUGCGUAGAGAUGCGGAGGAACACCGAUGGCGAAGGCAGCCCCCUGGGCUGACACUGACGCUCAGGCACGAAAGCGUGGGGAGCAAACAGG